GUCUUUUGUUUUUGUUUUGUUGGUAUAUAUGACAAAGAGAAGAAGGGGGGUUGUUUUUUGGUGAAAAAAAUGGGACCGUCCAGCCCUUUUUUUACAAAGAGCCUUCCGAUCCCAAAGUGCACACAAAAGGGUGUUUGGGUUGUUUUUCAGGUAUUUCACUGAUGAUCCUUCCGCAGGUUCACCUACGGAAA
rnacentral:misc_RNA from 1 species